UUUAUCUAAAAAUACUCCUUAAGAUGUCAAAAAAAAUACUAGAUUCAUUACUGAAACCUUGAUGUUUUCUCCUUCACCAUUCUUCUUUCUUUCUCUUCUUCUCUCACUAGACUACUAUGUCUCUCUCUCUCUCUAAAUUUUUUAAAAAAUGGAAGAAUAGAAGUGUGGAGAGGAAGAAAAGGGGAAGGGCAAUUUAUAGAGUUUUGGAAAUGUCGGAUUCAUGCCAAGUGGCGAAAUCCCGUAAAGAGAGGAGAAAAAGAUGGUCAGUAUGGAAAAUGAGGGAGGAGGGCCUCCUCCACCGGCGAUGGUAGCACGCCUCCUGAGGUAGUGGUAGCGCAUUGCAGGCUAGCCUGUAGGCGCACAAGCCUCCUAUCGCGUGGACGACGAACACACAGUGUGCGACGCUUGUCUGCGCACGAAGUGACGCACAGACGCCUGUCUGCGUGCAACCGAAUGCGCACAGGUCCUGACCUUGCGUCGUGCACGCUAUGCGCACAUUCGCGCGCGCAUAGUGCUUAGCAUCCGUGUGGGCAAUUUGACUCCACGCAGGAUUUUCUUCUCGAUCUUCG
rnacentral:lncRNA from 1 species